rnacentral:sRNA from 1 species
CUGGGAGUAGCGCGAGGAAAAGAAGGGCGCUGGGUGAAGCAGUUGCUCAGGAUAUUUCUCUGGCAAUGGAUCGUCACAAACGUGUGAAAUGUUUGCCUGGGGAAAACACACAAAACGAAAUGUGAUGCCAGAGCUUACUGCUGUUUUGUCACACGAGUGUUUUCGACUAAGAUAAGCCAACUUCCCAGAUUCCCAGAGAGAUUAUUUCUUCUGCUGCAGAUAGAGUACUCAGGAUGUAGCAGUCGAAAUAGAAAACUUCAGUAGGAAACUUCCUUUGGGAAGUCCUAACCUGUAUCUUGGGCGAAUCUAAGGUCCAGAAACAGGAUACAAUUUUCUCAAGGCAUCGUAUCUAUUUCAGCAGCACAACCAGACAAAAAUUUUGAGUUCUUGUUUAAUACCCAAGGUAUCAGAUAUGGUCCAGGAAUGGAGUCCUGUGAGAAGAUUUCUGAGUGCUUGUGAGAAUAUUCCUAAAAAUUCAGACAAAGGCCUUGUGACCAAAGUUCUUUCAAGAUACCAAAUUGUCCAUAGACAGUGUCUUCAUGCUCCUCUCCAGUGUUUUGGAUAGGAAUGAGUUUACUUCAGAUUGCUCAUUUUUGCUUGCUGUUGUAAUUUAUUUAAGUGUUUAAAUGACCCUUUUUAUGCCUUUAUAUGAGGCUUUGAAUGAAGAUGGCUUUAGCAUAAGACUUUCAUAUACCUUAUCUAGGGCUCCAUUGUCCUAUGUCCCACUGCCUGUAGAGCAGUGGCAGACAGGUGUGAAUAAACUGGAUAAAUAAAGCACAGAGGCAGGA